AUGGACGCCAUCCCACGCACCGCUGAGCUCCUCCUCCCCGACGAUGAUGCGGUGCUGCCUGAUGCUGACCCUGAUCGUGCGGAGCGCCUCGCCCUGGGCCUGGCCCGGUUCCCUGUUCGCAUUCACGUCACGGAAUGCGUCGACUUCCGCCAGCCGCCGCUGCCAUCGCCUUCGCCGCCGGAGCCCGAUGACCUUGGCCAUGCGCCGGACUCCCCACCGCUUCCUCCAAGCUGGCCGCAGCACCACGUGUUCCCCCCGGCUCGCAGCAGCGCGGCUCGUCCGCCGGGCGAUGGUCGUGGCCGCCGGCGCCGCCGCCGCCGUGUGCAUGUGCCCCCGCCAUGCCGGUUCUGGGCUGGCAUCCUCGGGGCCCACCCCGGCGCCGUGGCCGACGUCAUGCGAGUCUUCGCUCGCCUGCGAUUGGGCGCGCCCGCUGUCUUGGCAUCACCUUUGGCCCACCACGACUCGCAGACUGCGUGUGUUCUGCCACCAGCUGUCGAGCCUAUGUUGGCCCCCCUGGUGCUUGGGCCCGCCUCGGGUUUGAACGGCGUGGACAACCCGGUCUCCCCCUCGCUCCGAGGCCGCUGCCUUUCCCCCAGCGCUGAUCCCGCGACCCCGUCCAUGCUUGUCGCUCCAACCGCAUGCCCUGAUCCUGCGGCCCCACUCCUGCAUGCCGUUCCUGCCAUGGCUGAUGCGCCUGCCCCGCUGCUCCUGCCUCCUGCCCAACGGGUAGCUGCCGACACCCAUGGAGCAAUGAAAAAAAUAGCGCGCUACAGCAAAAUAGCGGCGACCUUAAAAUGUGCUAUUAGCGUGCUAUAUCAUGUUAUAGCAUGCUAUUAG
rnacentral:rRNA from 1 species